rnacentral:rRNA from 1 species
GCAUAUCAAUAAGCGGAGGAAAAGAAACCUACGAGGAUUCCCCUAGUAACGGCGAGCGAACCGGGAGCAGCCCAGCUUGAGAAUCGGGCGGCGCCGCCGCCCGAAUUGUAGUCUGGAGAGGCGUCCUCAGCGACGGACCGGGCCCAAGUCCCCUGGAAAGGGGCGCCUGGGAGGGUGAGAGCCCCGUCCGGCCCGGACCCUGCCGCACCACGAGG